CUCUCCCCCACCCCCUUCCAGCGAACAUCCGACUGCCACAGCGCACACUCGCCGCAGGGUGUGUGUGAGAGAGAGAGGUUUUAAACUCACUCCCGCUCUCAACACACACCCAUCACCGUCGCCGCCGCUACUCUCCUCCCCCAGCGCUUCGUCUUCCCAGGACCGCCUCGCGUGCUUAACGAUGAUCCGGACAAGACAAGACCACUCCACUCUCCUAUCUAAAUGUCUCCCUUUCUCGGCACUCUUCUUCUUUCUCCCCCCCCCCUCCCCGGAUCGAUGAUCAACCACCACUGUUCCUUCAGGCGGACAUAUUGUUUUCGGAAGGGGGGGGGAAGCUGACCGUGUCACUACGUUCCGGCAGCACGCUGUAUCCCUCCGAGCCGUUCUCCCUUCAGACCCCGCAAGCAAGGCAUGGUGUGAGGAGGGCAGGGCACCCCCACCACGACCCCUCACUCUGCCCAAAGGUGCAGGACGAUCCAGCGUGCAUUGUAACUUGCCAACAGAUUUUCAGCCUCUGCCUCUUAAGGGAUGCGGCGAUGGCCAGAAAUAAAUGCUGAUACGCUCUGAAGGAUCCUUUGUUUGCGCGGCAGGAGGAGGCAGCGGUGAGACGGCCUCUGUUUUCCUCCUUCUGAUUGACAGCAGAUUACUGGAUGGGCUCGAAUUACACACAUGGCCAAUUAGAUGCUAUCUUUCUGCAGCACAGAGGCCAAAAAAAGAUAUUUCUUUCAUCCUCGGGGAAAACGUUGACUGAAUAUCGCAAGUGGAAUGAUCAUGUGCAAUACAGAGGCAAAAAAAUGGAAACGUGAAAUAAAAACUGAAAACAGGCUUGGCAGCAUCUGUGAAGAGACGGACAUUUAAUGUUUUGGGAUAACAAGGCAUAGAGGUAGACGAACACAGCAGGCCAAGCAGCAUCAGAGGAGCCGGAAGGCUGACGUUUCGGGCCUAGACGCUUCUUCAGAAAAAUGUUUUGGGUCCAUGAUUUUUCGUAAGAACGAGUGCUGUCAAACCCCAAGUCUUUUCAACAUUUUGUUUUUAUUUCUACAUUUUUCGAAUUCGAUUUGGGUGAUGGAAAAAAAACCACCAGUUUGCUAGUAGCAAUUAUAAAUCAUGUAAUGAAUUAAACGGGACCCAAGCGUUUCA